CUGAAGUUAGAGAUGGUGAAGAUCUGUCCUGAAGCUGUUGCAGGACUCACAGACGCUGAACAAACUGAUGGAGCAUCUUGAGGAGAGAAGAAUAGAAAUAUAACUGAAGUGACCAAAGAAGAAUGAAGUGGAAUAAAGUGCUGAGGGUGCAGAUUGAAACCAGCUGACAACCCCUCCCUCGAUGCUCCCCUCUUCACCUGCAGAGUUUACAACAAUCAUUAAAGCUCAGCGUACUCUGUACGAUUGUUUGAAAUUCA